rnacentral:rRNA from 1 species
CAGUAGCCGCGGGAAUACGUAGGUGGCGAGCGUUGUCCGGAUUUAUUGGGCGUAAAGGGAGUGUAGGCGGUCUCUUAAGUCUGAUGUGAAAGCCCACGGCUCAACCGUGGAGGGUCAUUGGAAACUGGGAGACUUGAGUGCAGAAGAGGAGAGCGGAAUUCCAUGUGUAGCGGUGAAAUGCGUAGAUAUAUGGAGGAACACCAGUGGCGAAGGCGGCUCUCUGGUCUGUAACUGACGCUGAGGCUCGAAAGCGUGGGGAGCAAACAGGAUUAGAUACCCCAGUAGUCCCUGUCUCUUAUAA